rnacentral:rRNA from 1 species
AAAUUAUCUGAAGUUAUACCUGCCCAAUGUAUAUUUAGGAUGAAUGGCCGCGGUACUUUGACCGUGCUAAGGUAGCGCAAUCAAUUGGUUUUUAAUUGGAGCCAGGUAUGAAUGGAGUUACGUGGUUUAGCUGUCUCCUGCUUAUUUUAUCGAAAUUACUAUGUAGGUGAAAAAGCCUAUAAUCAGAAAAAAGACGAGAAGACCCUUAGAGUUUUACUAAAUUUGAAAUAUUAAAGUUUUCAUAACAGUUUAGUUGGGGCAACGUAGGAGCAUAUAUUAAUUUAAAUCUCCUGAAAAUAAUUUAUCGAUUAUUUUAGUAUUGAGUAAACUACCUUAGGGAUAACAGCAUAAUUUUAUUAAUAAGUUUGUGACCUCGAUGUUGGACUGGGAANCUUUUAGGUUAGCCGCCUAAUAGGUAAGUUCUGUUCGNNNNNNNNNNNCGCGUGCUCUGNGU